rnacentral:lncRNA from 1 species
CCUUUAAUCAUUUACAAAGCAGGGCCACACAGAGCAUCUAUUUUCUUUCUGGAACAUCAGAGCUGGCUGGGAACUGGGAGAAGAGCUGGAGCAACAGCCUGCAUCCAUUUCCUCUUGCUGCAAUAACAACUGAUCACAAGAUGGAGUCUCACUCUGUCAACCAGGCUGGAGUGCACUGGCGCAAUCUCGGCUCACUGCAGUCACCUCCUCUCAGGUUCAAGUGAUUCUCC